UCAGAGUAGCUUUUCCUGAUGUCUUCAUUCACAUUCAGGCCUCCUCAGGAUUCCUCAAACAAAUUUCAUGUUUUUGUUUUUUCCCUGCAAGUUGAACCUUUGUGAAUUAUGAAAGUGAGAGAAACUUGAUCUGGUAAGCUAAUAAUUUAAUGUUAGUUAACUUAACAUGAAAGAAGCAAUAAGAGACUAAGGUUCUCCUGUGCUGCUCAAUUAUAAGGUGGUCUUCUGGGGUGAAUUGUGCAUGCAGAAAUGUUUUAUUGUAGGUUUGUGAUAACCAAAAUACCAUAUGUAAGGUCUGGGCCACAAUAUGUCAGCCACAUAGUACAUGGAGUUUGUGGGCUUGGGGAAAUCCUGGCUGCUGAAGAAGAGUGUAAGGUCUUCAGAAGACUGGAAGGACUUCAGAAGACUACACUGAAUAAAUUAUUGGCAGUGCUUUAUCCUCUGAAGGAUCUCUAAACCUAUGGUGUGGGAUGUGAGGGAUGACGGCUGCAGUAGUGCAUAUUCUUGGAAAGCAGAGCAGGCCUCUGCAAGUCUAGUGUGUGUGGAGAAAGGGGACUCUUGUGUAAGCAGAACCACGAUAGCUGGGUGGAAAAAGGCUAUGAAAAAGAAGAAAAAUAUUCAUGGCCUUUCAACAGUGCCCAUAUAAUCUCUCCAGCAGUUCAGAUGAAAGACUUGAUUUGAUUGAAACUGCUUACUCUUGUUAUUUAGAAAUGCAAUUCCAUUGGCUAGAUGGGAAUUGGAGCAUAACUGCAUAUAAAUGUAGGGGCUGAGUAUCUGCAUAUGUGCACAUAUGUCGGCACAUAGAGAGGAAUGUAAAUAAAAGACAUAAGGAGCUACAACGAUUGCUACCAUUCUGAUCUUUGUUUUCAUUUUAUAAGUCAUUUAUUGCUCUGUUUUUACAUGGAAUAUUUGUUUAAAAACCCAGUUGCACUUAAUGACAGUUAUAGGCACAAUUUGUGGAUUUCAGUCUAGAUACUGCUUACAGUACAUGUUGUCUGUUAUGUCUGUUAUUCUAGGAUUUUUGAGCCUGAUGUAUUCUAAGUGAGAAACUUCUGUAGCUUAUUUCCAGGCAUGGGAUUAAUUUUUAUUCCUCAGCUUCAGGUGAGUGUGGCUAUGCGUUGGCUGCUUUUCUACAAAGCAUGAUUAUCUCUGGUUUACUAGGAGCUGUGAUCUUACAGUGGCUCCUCAUGGGACUGGAAGCCACUGGUCAGCACUGUGCUUUGUCAGCUACAUGAUGGGCAGGCAGUGGAGCACUCCAUCCCCACUUGUAGUGCAUGAGUGCAUUGCAGUGCCUACAUCCUCUUAUCACAGUCUUCUCUGGCAGCCCAUGAUUUCCCCAAGCCCACGUACUCUGAGCUCCUGUCACAGUGCAUAGUGGUGCGGGCUCCUAGUGUUCCUGAUUUGUAUCCACAAAGAGAUUCCCAAAAUCUGCUCUGACACUAAUGAGUAGGAGGAAUUGGUUUCAUGCAGAUGGGUAUGUGUAGGUAACGUUUCUGCUCCAUGAGAUGAGUCAAGGCUGUGGCUCCCUUGCCUUACCCCUAGCACUCAGCAUGCCACUUUACUUGAGUGCACAGAGGACGUAGUGGCACAUCCACAAAGACAGGUAAAAGAGUACCAAACAUGAACUUCUAACAGGUGUUUCAUUUAACUGCUCGGUGCCUUGAGCAAAUUACUUGGCUCAGCAUCCUAUAGCUCUCUCCUUUCAAGUUUAAUUUACCCUAACUGGAUUUAAGUAAAGCAUCAUCUCAGUAUCAUCAUCAUUGCAUUGUUCAAGUUCCCAAUUGGCAAAGCAGAAGGCAGCUCAACUGAAGUUGCUUCCUAAUAGCUUCAACAUAAAUGUAUUUCAAAGGGAAAUUGUUCUCAGCCUAAUACCCUACAGAAUUCUAAUUCAAACUAUAAUCCCUGAGUUUCAAAUAUCUGAGAAAUACUGUGAAUGUUUGAAACCCAAAUGUCAGCUGAGAAGCUAAAGAUGAGUUUGAGUGCUCAGAAUCUUAAAAACUAUAUAGCCUCUGCCUUUUGUACAUUUGUGUGGUUUCUUUGUUUUUCUUUACCAAAUGAGCACUCAAAUCAAUGGAGUUAAUAUGAGCAUCAGAGUAUAAAAAGGGGUCAAAUGGUAAAGAAGUGUGAGGUAUUUGUCCUCUGGUUGGACAAGUAAACUUAAGACUGAAGGAUUUUACUGUAAUUAAUAUAUCUAACACUUUGGAGUCCAUUAGCUCUGUUCCAGACACAAAAACAUGCACUUCUCUACCAAAGUGAUGAGGUGUUUUCCUUAACAAAUGCUGUUGAAGAAAAAUUUGGUGAGAUGAAUGCAUCAAACACAAUAAGCAUUCUGAAAGCAUUAUGGCUUAUGCAAUAAAUAUACUUACAUUUAGAAAAUUGCUUCAUGUCAAAACCUCUGUAGAGAUUUGUAGCAACAGUAAUGAUUUUUAAAAUACUGUGUUUAUUCAUUUUGGUAAAUUAGUAUGCAGUGAACAGAAAGUACAGCUAAGCCGAGUUUGGCCACAGUUCAGGUCCAUGCAUUUCUCAGGGGGAGGGCAUCCCUGAGUUUUCUGAUCUGGCAUUCUAGACAGGUUGGUUAUUUCAGGACAUAAAAAUGCACCAAACUAGGUAUUUCCACCUGGUGCCUGUUUUGAACCAGCAACAAACAUUUUGUGUUUUUACUGAAGCCUCUCUACUAGACUUUCAGAAGAUUUACAAGCAUUACAGCAUAAAACCACUCACUCUUACUCUGCACUACAAUGUUAGUAUCAGAGUUGCAUUCUGUGCUAGUCUACAAUAAAUGAUAGAGUGCUCCCUAUUAUCACAUUUCUGCAUCAGUUUGUAUACUGGAAGUCUCCAGUUACUUAACAGUAGACUCUCUUAAAUAAUUUAUUGUUAUUACAUAUAUUUUCUAUGAUUGUAGUGCCUAGGUGUUUUAAACAUGGAACUGAACCUAAAACCAGUGUGAGGGCUGCUUGUAAUGUAAGAUGGCACAAUAUGUGCACAAAGAAAUAAGCCGGUGUUGGGCAGCACAGUGGGCAGGGGUUAAGCACAUCAGCUGCCUGCCUUCUGUUUUCAUAAGUGUCAUGAAAAAGAAUAUACCUUGUGGUAAAUGGCAGCAGAUAGAUUUUAAGUAAAUGAAAGCAGAUAGGGAAAUAGAGGGUCCUUAGAGCCGAAAGUGGACAGUUUAGGUUUGCUGCAAUGGCUCGAGGUAAAAGGAUUAGCCAGAAUGACCAGUGCACAGGUGAAGUGACAUAGGCAGGCAGGGCAGGAAAAUUAUCUUGGUAGAAUGCUCAGAGUAGAGAUCAGUGGGGUGAGGCUGCACUUGGGAAGGUGUUGCAAUAUUCGGGAUGGUACGAGUUGACAUAAAAGCUCUGGUUCGGUGAAUAGAGAUCUUAUACAAAAAGAAAUGACAGAUGUUAGGACAUAAACUGGACAUGAGAAGUUGGAGUGAGGCUGCCUGUCCCUCGCGGGAGGAACCAUUAAUCUUACAUUUUUGAGUAGUUGUUUGUUUUUUUUUUCCUAAUUCCAGGUUGGAAAAGCAUGAAUGUACAGCACUGAGAUGCACCCAUUGGGCUGACAUGAGGUAGUUUAGAGGCAUGCCUCAGAGUGCUUUUGCUUCAAGUUUCAAUUGAGGUGCCAGAAUUAAGGAAUUCCAUAAGAAUGUCAGUCGUAAUUAAAAUUAAAAAAAAAAAAAAAAAAACUUGGCACUCAGGGUUUCAGAGAGCUGGAAAACAUUACUAAAAUGUAUGGGAAAUUAGAAGUGAAAUAGUAGGAACUGAACACUUCUACUUGUUAGAACUCCUGAACUUUUAAACGGCAUCUCUCGUUUUUCCUGCUGAGUAGGUAUUCCUGAAUACUCUAGACUGACAUGGUUCACAUUGAACAAAUUCAUUUGUAUAGCCCUGCUAGCUGCAGUCGCAUUUCUGUUGACAAUAUGCCUUGUUGCAAUACUGAUGUUUUUAGUUUUACGCAGAUCAGCAUAUCAGUAUCAUUGCUUUGUUGCCAAACAUCUUAUCAUGUUCUAUACUAAUCAUAGCUAGAGGUUGCCAAAGCAGUGUUUGACAUCUUCAUGGCUGUGCCAGCUACUAGUGGUAGUAGGAACAUCUUCUGCUCUUCUCUACUAUAAAUCUCUUCUACUCUAUUCUAUACUAUAAAUGCAAGCUAUUUCAGAAUAGGUAGCAUAUAUGCUACUUUAAGUCCAAGGAAACGUUGUAACUGGAAGUUUGGGCACCUUAAUCUCUAAUGCAAAUUUAAUCUGUAAAGGACUUUGUAGUCUCUGAACUGACAACAGAACUGGAAAUAAAGCCUAGAUUUUUUUCCAAAACUAGCCCCAUACAAAACUCACAUACUCAUGGGAAUUUGCAACUGAUUAAGAAUACCCAGCAAAUUCCAGUUUAAAAAUGAAGAUGAGCACUCAUAUUAAUCCCUGCAGGAGCUACUUCCUUGUCUUCCAUAUUGAGCAUUGUCUUCUUUUUGAGAAAAGCUGUGGGUUUUUUUAACUUCACAUAAGCCACAUACUAACAGUGAAGCACGCUGAAAUUUUUGCACAGUUUAACAGGUCAAGUCAAAACCUCACAGCACAAAAAAUUUCACUUCAGCCCAGUAAUCCACCAGGAAACUACAAAGCGCUUUGUCUUUAGUAGAAUGUUUACUCAACUAACUCUGGUUAAGAGUUCACCUUUAUUGGACAGUCUAGACAUGGCUUCAGCUCUGUAAACCAACUUCUUGCCCUCUGGAGUCACCUUGCAAUUGUUUCAUACCUUCAAAUACUAUAGAUCUACGUUAUUAAACAUUAACCAUGUUUAUACACUUCACAUCAAACUUCUUUCUAAGCAAGCUUAACACAGCCUUAAUAUAGUAUUAUUUCUAUCUUCAGUACUGUAUUUCCACCUGACACAGGCUUCAGUGAUUGCUCCCUUAACCCUCGUGAUGUGGAUCAAAAUUGCAGUCCACUGGUAUAACUUUAGAUCCCAUUGUUGAGCAACUUCACUCCUGUGCUUGUGGUGGUGGACAUUUCAGUAUCAUUGGUCAAGCAGAUCCUCCUGCUGAGCUGUGUUAACUGUGCUGUCAGAAGCUGUGUAAAUGCAGUCUUCCACACUACAUCAAACCUGCCUUUUGACUUGCAAAAGGCCCCGUUGAGACCAUUUUGCUUGGCUUUGUUAACAAAUGCAGAGGUAGGUGGAGGCACAGAAAUCUUCCCACUCUCCAGGACUGAGUAGGAACAAGGUCGGUUUCCUUCUGUUUUUUUUUUUUUUUUUUUAAUUGACCUUGUUCCAGCUUUGAUUCAGCUGUGAUUGUAUUUAAUUACUUGUGCUCUUAUAUUCAAUAAAAAGUAAGAACAAAAAAAAAAAAAAGAGUGUAAGCUAAAGACUGUGGAAGAGAUAUGAAUUUAGCUGUCCAGACUGCUGUCACACAUAAAUAGUGGCAAUUUAUCUCUUUAACUUGUGGAAACCAGUUUAACAUUUCACCUACAGAGAAUGUCUGUGUGCUGAACCUUACUCAGCAGUAGUAGAGUUGUCAUGCUUGUCCAGCACUGCUCUGAGGUAGAGAUGUCAAGUUUUACAACCCAUUGAAAUGAGAGGUUAAUGAUUUUCUUAUUCAUAGAGCAGAAAUAAACUUGAUCCCCUCACCCUGCUUCAGGUGGCUGAUGGAGAGACCUAUUUAAGUGGUGACACAAAGGUAUGUAUUGGGCUGAAGAUUGAUGACUGAGGACUCAGGAUGAGCUUCAGUUUCCUACCGAUGUGGGGAGAGGUGCAAAUUCUUCCUGGGAAAGAAACAAUCUAUUUCUUACCAAGAAGAAAUUGGAGGAGUAACUCUCACUACACUUCUAGAGGAUGCUUCAGCAUAGUCCUUCUGAAUGGCCAGGCAAGGCUAUUAGUGCCUGCUAAUAAAUGAGAGACUAGUAAUCGUCCAUACUACAAAGCCAUCUGUACAGGACUUAAGAAGAGGAUGGAGUCCAACAAUUUGUGCUAAUGUCUGGAAACUAUUUGUUGUGAAGAUAGCCACUCUUGGGUGCUGAGUGCGAACAUGAGGGUUUGCAUAACAAAUUGUAGGCUAAAUCCAGAAACUCUUCUGCAAAUACAGCCUUACUGAGUGUUCAGAUGAGUAAGGAGCUGGGCUUCAGUAUAAACAAGAAAGAGAGGAGGAAUUGCAGAGCAAAAUGGCCAAGUAUGGGGCUCCUUCUGUUGUCUCAUCCUCAUGGGUCAAUAACAAAGUUACACUGACUUCCCCAAGAGAUUAUUUAAACCUAUCACUCUAAAAGUUGUUUCUCUGAGCAUGUAGGCAGUAAGAGAAAGCUGUGUGCAUAGAUGUAGAAGUGCGUUUUCAUCCCUUCUUGCAGCUGGUAAAAUGAGAACAGGCUCCCAAACUGCAGUUGCACUAACAGAUACCUGAGAAGUCCCCGUUCCACACUGUCCCCUUGUCUGGGCAUUGUAUGGAGGAGUGCCACCUCCUUUCAAGUCAAAACCUUGCCAGCUGCUAUGAUUUGGUAACAAUUUGACAAUAUCAGAGGCAGGAUAAUGCUAGCUUUGCUAAUGUGUAGUCUCAAGCAGCACUGAUGCCAUCAGUGCAUCUGAAAUAAGAAUGUCAUCUGUGGUGAGAAUUAUGGAAGGAUUAAGUGAUCAGUCUCCUGGUAGUAAUCUGUUGAGAUGUUUCAAUUUUAUGAUGAAGUCCACUUCUAUUUUACUUCUUUUUUGCUGUCCUUGCAAUCCCCAGCCCUAGCUCUGUGGCUAAACCAGAAGGACUUCUCUAGACUAGGAGAAGAAGGUAUGGAUGUAUCGUUGGGCUCAGAGAGAGAUCCUUGACAAAGGUAGGUACUGCAAGGCUCACUCAGCAAAUUGCCAGAGAGAGACAGGAAUUGCUAAGAGCCUAGACAAAAAGACUGGGAGAGAUAGGGAGAGACAUCUUCUGGAAGCAGCAAAUAUUUGUGUUUGUGGAGCAGGAGAUUCUGCAGAAGUGAAGGGAGAGGACCUAUUCUCUUAUUCCUUUUUGUUGGUUAAACUGGGAAGUGAGAACACUGUCAUGUUCUCUGUAGUAUGUUUUGUGGCUGCCUCCUCGAGCCUGUAUCCACAUAAUCCAAAUGCAAGUGUGAACUGUGUGAAACUUGCCUCUGUAGUGAGCCUUCACAUUUUUGUAUUGAUAGCAUUUUACUGGAAAGGUGCAGUUAUAGAUGCUGUUAUGUUAACCAAAUGCAAAAAUAAUGUUUAACCUAUGGUUAGUUUUUGCAUAUAAAUAAAUGUUGUACAAUAUAUUCUAUUUAAUAAGCAAGAUUCUGCUAUCUAUAAGAUGAUGGUCUUCUCUUGGUAGGUUCUUAAAGGAUGUUUUUGUCAUUAUCAAAAAUGUUAGUCUUUCUCUGUGCCGUGCACUGGGAGGCAGCAAAAGGUGAACAGCACAGAAAAUGAACACAGUGUUCUGAAAGGUAAGGAAGGGAAAACAGUCAUCUAAUAUACUACCCUUCCAUCAGUUUGUUACCUCUGAAUUUCCCGAAUCUUAGUCUAUGGAGUUUCCUCACAUUAUUCUGGCUGUAAAUUAUUUAUAUACAUUUCCCCAUCUUUUAUUGCACUCAGUUUCUCAGCUUCCUGUGGGACAUCACUAGCUUCCAGCAAUGUGCUGAGGCACCACCUCUAGAAUCUGCCAGAAAGGAGAGGAGAUGGAGCUAACAAAGUGAGACUCUGGGAUUUGUGCUAGAAUGGAUCGUCAUAGAUGAAUAACUAACAGCAUUUUCUCUCAUUUCUGAAAAAGCUCUGUAGUUUUGUUGGCAUAAUUCAUUAACCAGCAUUUUUGCACUUCAUUAUUAAAGGUAAAUCUUUCUCCUGUUUUCAUCAAUCUCAAUGAAGAAAUCUGCCAUUCAUUCCCGUUAGAAGGCUGUUUCUCAGAGCAUCUCUGCUGGUAUUUUAUUCCAUUCAGUUUAAAAUACCCCGGAGAAGGAAUAUUUCUCUGAAGGGAUGUGGGAGUGAGGAUACAGCCCAGGCCAUCCUGUGGUCAGAUAUUAAUGAAGAUAGCUCUAUUUUCUUUGCAUCCUAUUAUCGCUGGGUCUGUACAGCUCUUAAUUCUUCUUCCUACUCUGUGUUUCACCUUUCAGACGACUACAGACAUGUAAUUACGCCAAACUUUGGCCAAAAUCAGGUUGUACAAUAUAUUUGUCAAUGAGUAGAGCCAAGUGAACCUCCAUAGGAACUGUAGCAUGCCCAAAUGCUGCAUGGAUCCCACGGUUCUCUGUGGUAUGCUUUGGCAGUGGUAAGUACAAGCAAGGUUUUUCCGUUCCCCUGCCUGUGUACCACUGAAAACUCCCAUUCAAUAGCUCUACAUGUUUCUCAUAGUGCUAUUUGUAUUACUGUUUUUCACUUUUCUGCAACCACAAUGAAAAGCGUUCUCAUAAUUUACUGUAUAAAAUCCAUUUAUGGUGGCAAAAAGUCUGCUUGGGUUCCACAGUUUCUGGAGAUCUCCAUUUUUAAAGUGAGCUAACUAAUGCUAAAUGCUGUCUGAUGACUAAGAAGAUAUAAAAUGUCAUUGAUGGGACUGGAAAGUCUUCUACAGUUCUUAGAACAGUCAAGAUUUAGUUCCUCCUCUGCAAGACAUAUAUCUAGAGGCAGACAGAGAUGAGUAAUCACAUGGUAGUGCUCACGAAUGGCUAUCAAAUGGAAAUUGUUCUUCUUGUGGACUUCUUCAAGCCCACAGCUGCAUUCUUCACUGCUGUGGGACAUCUGAAGUCAAGUGUCGAAUUUGCUGUGGCUGACUUGCAAUCAGACUUACUGACUAGGGUAGGCUGACUUUCAGAAAGUGUAAAAGACAGAACAGCAACUGUGGAAAUAAAAAGAAUGUUUUUUCAUUGCUGGCAGCUUCUUUGCUCUGACCUUUUGACAUCAUUCCAAGGUCAGUUAAAUGCUUCAGAGGAACUGGAGUGAUUAUAAAUCAACUUCGUCAUCAUCCAUAAGGUGGAUGGAGAACAUUUCAUAAAAGUGAAAAAAGGUUUCCAGGGAGAUCUUCUUGAGGUGUGAAUAGUGCCCACUGUGUGCAAUACCCCUGACAGGAGACAGUGCAGAUGCAGCACCUACCUUUUUGCUCCAGAAAGCACUCAAAAGAAGACACGAUUGCCCUUUGGCACCUUCAGAGGCUGUUCCAGGAUGCAUCAUCCCCUAGUUCUAAGCUUCCGUGUCUCUAGAAAACUGGAUGACCCUAGAGAGGAAUUCCAAACUCUUCCCAACUCCUCCAAUUUUGAAAGGCCGUUUUCCAAGACAAAAAUUUGUUGAAAAGCGAUGUGUUUAAGAUAGGGGUGUAACUUCUAAUAAUAUGAAAAUACAGAAGAAAAAAAAGUGCUUGAAUAUGGAUUUGACCAUGGGACAUUGGAAAUGCAAAAGAAUUUUAGACUUUUUAAUGCAAAUAAGCAAGUUGCAUCAUUCCAAGUUCAUUCAGAGGCAUAUGUUGAAACAACACAAAGCAAUGUAAAUAAGCAGUCCAAAUCACUUGUCAGACGGCUUUACAACAAUGGAUGACUUUCCUUAGUGCCUUAGUGCUGCUCUAUCUGCAAGGAAUCUUCCUGGAGCACCUCUUGAGAGCUGCCACAAUAUCAAGUUAAUUCAUGUUGAUGGCCACUGCCUAUUAGUCACUACUUUGAGAAGGAACAACAGCGACAGGAUACUUGAAAAGAAAUACUGCAGCUGAUGCUUUGCAUUAUGAAAAAUGCCGACAUCUGAUCCAUUUUGAUAUCCUUGAAUAUCUGAUCUUUGGAAAAAUUACAUGUGGAGUUCAGGACAUUGGGCAUUUGCUCCCUGAGCGAUGGAGUCCAGAACCUGUUUAAGGGUCCCAGCAGCCCACCUCUAUUUCAUAGUAGACAACCCCUUGAGUGACAAAAACCUUUUAAAGGGGAAAAAUAACAUGAACAACUCCUUCUAACAUGGUUGGAAUUGAGACCACCUAAGUUUUUGCUCUAAGCUGUUCCUGUACAAUCUGUUUCCCAGGUAAUCUUCAUGUUUAUUUAAGAGAAAGAGAUCAUCCCGCUCUUUCACAGAAGCUCUCUCUUAGCCUUUUGAGGAUGCUCCAGGCUAAUGUAUGGAGCCUAGAGGGUGUAAUUCAUAGUUUGAAACCUAUUAUACUCAUGCCUUAUCUUCUAGUGAUUGCUCUGAGCAUCAAGAAUUGUAAGAAAGGAAGGAAGGGCCCCCCAUCUCCUUCUCAGCUUGUGCUGCUCAGCUCCACACAGAAGAGCGUAUUUCUGCAGAAAGGCAGAAGCAGAGCUGUGAGUCACAAAUGAGUCAAAAGGACAAAAGCUUAGUGGGCAAAGACUGGCAUUUUUAUUAUAUAAAAUCAGACUUUUGAGAACUGUCUUUUUAAGCUUAGCAUCCUCCACAAUUCUUAAGUGGGAUUAAGAUGUCCAAAACAAGAUCUCUUCUUCUUUUAAUUACUAUCUACUGACAUUAUUACAGAGUUUACUAUUUGUGUAUGAGUUAAGCACAAGGUGAGGAAUUAUCCUAAGCAACAAUUUUUCCUUGCUUACCAAAGCUUGCAAUGGAGAGCAGAUUGCCUAUCCCUGUAACGGAUGUACAUGUGUAAGAGAUUUUUAAAUGGCAAAUAACUAGCAGAGCCUUUAUUAUUAAUAUCAAAACAUCAUUUUUUCUUGUACUCUUUUUUCCAGAUGAGUUUUCUGUUUGAAUUCAUUGAAACUUUUUCAUGUAGUUUAUUAGAACCAGUAUAUUGUAUUAAUUUCCCUAAAAAUUCUUCACUUACAAAGCAGCUGAAUAAAUUUUAUAGUGGAAUAAGGUGUGAAGAUGAAUUACUGCCCAUGCAUGUGAACACCACUGAUCAGGAGGUGACACUUUACUGUAGUAGCUCAAUAGAGAGAUAUCAAGGAACAUAUAAGGGUUAAUUUAGCAAGAUCCCCUGAAACAGUGUAGAAAAAAAAUGUUUCAGUAGGUAAAAAUUCAGAAUGCUGUCUUUAUACAUUCAACAGUCUGCUAAAUUAAAAAUAGUUAAAACUCAUUUUUGUGCCACGAUUACACUAAAAUCUGAGAAGACCAGUAAGGGAGGAAAGUAUCUUCCAGGAGAUCAGAGCACUUUCAUGGAAUUUUGGACUUCAGAGAUUCUGCAGGUUUCAAAUAUAAAUAUAUGCAGUUUUAAAAUGUUAGAAACAAGUGAGUCAUCCUUAUCUCUCAGGGGAGUAGUUACUUAGGUUGGUAGCAUGGGAGGGUUAAGGGAAGGAAAAGAGGAAGACAGUUGUAAUAAUCUUGAGUAAUAGUAGACAAACCUGUCCCUGUUCCUUUUCUCUCUCUCCCAUCCUCUCUCGAUUAGCACAAGAGCUAUAGAAAUGUCAUUUCAACAUGUUACAUCCAUUCAUAUGAUCAAAAUGAAUUUAUUUUAGAACCCAAUUUUUGCAUAAAUGCUUAUAUGUGUGGUCAGAGAUAUAGAAGUCAGCAAAGAGCAUCACAUUAUUUAAGUAAGAUACUUUCAGCUAAGUAAGCUGAGCUGGUCAUGCAUGACAUUGAGUGCUGCUGAGAAGGUCCUCAGCAAACUCUCUUGCUCCUUUCCUCCCUACAGACGUGCAAAAAGUUCUCCGUACUUUAUACAUUCAUGUUGGUAAGGAUGUCUUCAAGCCACUGUAAACUAAGCAGCAAUGACAUUAGAUUCUAAUUAAGAUCUUUUGGCUUUCACAUUGAUAAUGAGCUGUAGGCACUUCUUUGUUGCUCUUGUUAUUUUUGUAAAGCUGUUUGGGAGCUCCCUUAGAGAAUCUCCCCCAAGAAAAAAUAUUGUUUUGCUUCCACUCUCUGCACAUCAGUUGUCAAAUUCAAAGAUGCCUGCCAACACAGCUCAGCCUUUUGUAGUCAGAAAUUCAUUUUCAAACAAUGCUUUCCAAUUCCUAGGUAAUCUGGUGUGUGUUAUUUAAACAUCUAAUACAUGUAAUUUCACAAGGAUCAACAUAGCCAAGUACACAGAAGCCUAGAACUGGCAUGUCAAACAAAACAUUUUCUGUUAGAAGUGAAUAUGAUUUCACUGUGAUUGAAUAAUCAGUGUUUUGAAUGUUAGUGUCUGAAGUUUUACAAUGUAUUUCAAAGCCUAAUUUAAAAAGCACAUACUAACACUUCCCGAUUAUGUCUGUAGAGCAGCUGUUUUGUGUGAUUUAAUGGUGAGUGUAAAAACCUAGCUCCGUUUAAGCCAGCUGCACGAAUCUCUGGAGUUUCUUUGGUUUGGCAGUUUCCCACCUUCUCCUUCAGGAUACAACCUUCUCCUUCACAAUGGGACUUUCAUCGCCAUCAAUUCCAAUCUCUAAUUAUGUUUCAAUCUUGCAAUGACGUGCCUAUAAAGAGUCUCUUGACAUUUUUUUCUUGGUUAACUUGGGCCAAGAUCACAUGGACAUGAUGUGGCCUGCUGAUUCUCAUGAUUUCAGUAAGAUCCAGCUGUCUUUCAGGAAAACCUCCUUCAAAAGAUCAUGACAGAGCUGGCUGGUGAACUGGUCAUCUUCUUUUACAGUAGCUGGUAAGUCAAAACAAGAUCACAGAGGCUAUGUCUUCAUUCAUUACUGAUGUUGGAGCUUAAAUUUGCAACUGCCUGCCCUUGAGUCAGAUGUUUUGUUUUGGAAGGUGUAGGUGUUUUGAUACAAGGCUAAUGAGAGUGAAUCCUUAAUCAUUAGACAACACUCUCCUGUGAGGCAAAAGUCUCACUCAGAAAUGAUAAAUCUUUGAACAGGCUGUUGCCCUACACUCUGAUGAAUUUACUCUGUAAAGUUUUGUUGUGCGAUAUGCUAUAAGAACCAUUUUCUACCUAAAUCUUUCCUGUGCCUGACCCCAGCCUUCCCUUUUUCAAGACAUCAAAAGGAGGCUGGAGCUUUACCUUUCUCUGCUAGGGAGGGGCAGACAUAUGGGGCACAAAAAGGGACAAGACUCCUCUAAUUAUCCACAGUAUCAAUAGUUUAUCUUCUCUGCAUUUCACCUACUACACUGCAAAAGUGUCAUUCUCUCACUAAGCAGUGUGCAGUGCCUAUGUUAGUCUUAUUUCAGACAGCAGGGCUUCCCAGGUGGUGUGCAGCAGCAGGAUUUGGAGCUGAGUCUAUGGUUAUUAUAGAUGGAUUAUGCACUUUGGGCUAGUGUGAUGAAAAUUCGUAAGAAUUUAGGAGAUUCUAUUACACAAAGUACUUCUGUUCCAUUUAAAAUAUAAAUAUAUAUAUAGUUACUAUGUGUGCUGACAAUGGUUACUGUCAAAAGUAAGGCUCUCUCCAACAGGAAUAAGACCAAUUUUGAGGGAAAGAAGAAGUGAAAUGACCUGUGCAGUGAGAAGGCUGGUUCUAGACUAGAUGAAAGAAUCUUUCCAGCCCUUUCCUCAGCUGUAUGACAAUUUAAUAAACACCUGCUUAACACUGCAAUUCACCCAAUCAAGUUUCAAGACCUUGGACACCUGUGCAACACAUUGAUGUUGAUAAUAAUAUCUGGAGAUUGAUUUCAUUAGCACAAAAGCCUACAAAUCCAAGUUGAUAGGUCUUGUACUCUGCACAGAACCCCUGGCUGGAUUGUACCAAGGCUGGUAUCCCAAUGUCACAAGCGGGGCUGCUGUCUGGCCCUGCUCCCCCCAGGCAGGUCAAGGCAGUACUGGCAGAUAGGCCAUCCCUGUGAGAUUCUCUUGCUGCUAAAAUGGCCCUCAUUUUCAUUAUCUGUGUUACAGUAGCACCUAGAGGUGCUUUUUAUUGGACAUAAAAAGACCCUGUUAUUCUACCUCAUGUGUCCUAUUGCUGAGCUAUAAUACAACACAAUCUCUUGGGCAUGAAAAUCUUUUUUUAAUUAAGCAAUUAGAAUACUGCAUUAUUUGAGGAUCAUUCAGCUUCUUCUAAUCCUUAUUUGAUUUAGCUUUAUUUCACUAAUGUACAUUUUGCUGCUUGUUGUUAUCUUUCUCUUUGAAUCUGCUUAGAAAUCCAUUUGCUCUGGGUAAUUGUUCCUUCACAAGGCACUUUUCAGUAAUGUUCAGCACAAUGAUUUCAUGUUAAAAGAUGAUGUUAAAAUAAAGUGGCUGUCAUGAUAAAGUCUGUUUCAAAAAAAGAAUCAAAAUCUACCAUUUGUUCCUGUUUCCAAUUAUCCUCCAUUACAGGUAAUGAAAUAAUGUGAGUAAAAGUUACAAGUGUCAUACUUAAAGGGAACUUGGACACUCAUCAAUAAUAUCAGAGAUGACAAAACUAAUCUUGUUUAGUUACAUAUACUGCUGCAGUCAGAACGUCUGAUUACAAGAGAGAAAGGAAGCAUCAGUAUUAUUACUGAAGUCUGAAAGUCAUUUUAUUCCCAAAUUAGCAGCAUUGUUGAUACAGCUGAAUAUAUUGAAUGUACAUUUCCUUUAUCAAAAUAAUUUCUGUGCAAUAAACAGAAAGAAUUUGAAUGUACUGCCUCAAUUUGACUUUUUUUCUAUCUGAAUGACUUUUAUAUAGAGAAAGAAUA